rnacentral:lncRNA from 1 species
AUGAUUAAUAAUAAAUCUUUAAAUCUAAAAAAUAGUUUUAAAAAUCUGGUUUCCCCACAGCUCAAGUGGACACAGAUAUUUCCCUCUCUGCUUCCUUUUCUUCUCUCUUGCUUUUCUGAAAGUAUAUGUUUUCCUUAUUCUGUCUUUCCAAGUCUGCUCUGCUUUUUGUCUCUCUCUUUUGUUUUACUUUAUUAUAUUUUAUUUGAAGUGAAAGGACAGGGCUGGAAGUCAUCCCUCGCAGGCGUGUGUGUGUGUGUGUGGUGGGGCCUCUAUCCCAGAGGAGACGUUUUUUGCCAGUUGCAGAAGGAAGGCUGUAUAGAAGUUCAAGGGAUCCACCAACCCAGAGGAGAGCCGAAGAGGCAACCGGCCAACCCGAGAACACCUGCUGGGCAAUGUGCUGUGAAGCAUGGAGCACGGUGUGAGGAGCUGGCAUCCGCUACCAGAGGCGGAAGAUUAAAUGAGAUGAGGAACAUAGAGUGCCUGGACCCUCAGCACUCAACAGUCCAACGAUGCACGCAGUGUGGGGUUAGAGAAUGCCUCUUUAAGUGGUCCUUGACCAGGCUUUCACGUUGGAACUGGCGAAGUUUGUUAAAAAACAAGGGCACAGGCCUUGCACCGAAUGGAAAACGCUAGAGGUUGGACAGACUUAUUUUCUCAAGACACAAGGGGUAAUAGACAAGCCACAAUUGUCCCCUGUCUUGGCUGGCCCUGGUGCACCAGAAUAUUAAGUUACCUGUGGGGUGCCCCAAAUCCCAUAGCACCAGGCAGUUUGGUGGGAAAGGUGUGGGCUUUGAAGCCAGACAGAUCUGUGAUGAAAUUAGGCCCAGUCGCUUUCUGGCUGUGUGACUUUGGGGAAGGCACUUCAUCUCUCUGAGCCUCAGUUUCCCCGUCUGUGUAGUAGAGAUCAUUAUAUCUUUGGUGAGGAUUAAUGUAGGCCCAGCAGUGACUGGUGGUCAGCCAAUGUUAGCAUCACUUGUCUUUUCAGGAUGGAGCCCUGACUUAUUCAACACCAAUGCCCUCUGAGAAGAUGGAAAAUGGAGCUUCUGGGAGCAUCUCUGGCAGCUAUUGAGCUGUUCCUUUAGGCAUGUAGCUGACCUUUAGGCAUUGAAGGAAACUGAAUUUUCUUCUUCAGGAGGAAGAGCUGCCCGUUGCUGGUCAGAGUUCCUGGCAUGUGGGUCACCGAGGAUUGGUGCCAGCAAUAGGGAAGCUAGCGGGUGGGCAGUGACAGGCAGUGGGGAGAGGUUCAUUAGUUUCUACAUUACUAAAAAAUAAGCUCCGGUCCAUUUCUAGAAGCAAAGAGCUUCAUAUUAGGCAUUCCCUCCCUACAAAGCACCAUCUGGGCUGAACCCUGCUGAAGAGAGAAGUGAGCUCUGUGGUUGUCGCUGGUGGUGGAUGGUGUUCCCUUCUACUCAACCAGGGGAAUAAUAAUAAUAAUAAUAAUAAUAAUAAUAAUAAUAAUAAAGGGCAGUCUGGGUGGCUCA